CAACAACAUCAUUCUGUGGCAGUUGGUUGUCAGAGAAAAGAGAACCUUCAGAAUUCAGAGAAGCUAUUUCUUCUACAACAUUCUAUGGCAGUUAGUAAUGUGAAAGGGGAAGCCCAAAUACCCAGAAAGCUUUAUACCUCCUAUGCUAAGCAUGAGGCAUGUUUGGCCAUAGUUAUCUGGGUUCUACCUCUUUAACCUAAUUAAAUAAUUUACUAUCUUUGUUAAAAUAUAUAUUAUAUAAAUUCAUUUCAGGCAGGGAUCAAAAUCACAUAUAUAGGGAGUUUUGGAGUAUACUAAGAACAGAGCCUCCUGCUUUGGAACCCACACCCAAGUUGAAAUGGACUUUUCUCUAUCCCUCUUUAUUCUCUCCCCCAGCCUCAACACAAAACACAUAAAGAAAUCUUCAUUGACAUGGAGGAUGGGCACAAAGACCCAUCAAUCAUAUCUCUCAGUUGCCAGUCCAUCCCCGAGAAUUUCUAAGACAUAAUCUUGAACUAUAUUGUUUACUUCCUAUGUCUCUCACCACCCCAUAUCCCAAAUUAGAAAGCCAAGGGGUCAUCCAGGGUGCUGGUGUAAGUAAUAUCCAGAGAAACAGAGGCAAGCAGAGAUUGGUUUUUAAUCUUUAAUGUGGAGUUUAAGCUAGCUGACAAGAUGCAACUCUUGUCCAAAGCAUUCAGAGCAGACAAACUGAGGCAGAGAAUUUAUAUAGUAGCUAACUAGGGUUUGCAAAGAGAAUACAUAACCUGAAUAUACAAUCUUGUAAGGGAAACAAAGGCAGAUAAAGGGGGGAAAGGAUACUGGAUAGAUGGACAAGCCAUAAUUCCAGGAAAGGAUCAUAAUUUAAUCGUGACAGGAUAGAGGACAAGAUAAGGUUGAGGGCACAAGACAGUGAGGUGUGAAGUGUAUUACUCAACAGGAGGAGGAAUUAUCCUAACAAGUAUGAGAUAAUGCACCUGGAGUUUAUGACACAAUGAUUUCCCUUCUUCAAGAAUCCCCAAUAAAUUUGGAAACACCCCUGAAAAGAGAUGGACUGAGUCUUCAAGAAGAUCCCAGAUACUGUCCAGUCUACAAUGGUUGGUUUUCUUAGAUUUCCCACUAGGGGUGGACUCACUCUUCUCAGGACAGGGGGACAGAGCCCCUAAAGGGCCCAAUAUUUGGGGAGGUAGAUAAUUGUUGGGGGGCCCAGGAUCUGGUCUAGUAGCUGGGUUAGAAUGAAAGUCAUAAAACAUGGACAAAAGAUGAUUUGCAGAGAGGUUCCAGAUUCUUGAAGAGACUAACUCUCCACUAAUGCUCAAAGUGGAAACAUCUCUAUGUGGCUUGGAUAGCUGCUACCCAUUUCCCCAAGCAAAGAGAGCCUAAUAACUCUAGGGGAGUUCAAGUAACAGAGUCAGAAUCAGCCUUUUGGAGAACCUAACUCAUUAAUCAAUAUUUCACUUACAAUGUGACAUACACUAAAACAACAAACUUUGAGGAACUUUGAGGAAUCAGUUUUUUAUUGAGUCAAUAAAAAAAUGUAAAGACUAUCCUUCCAAAUAAAUACCAGAGGCUUCUAUACCUAGGAUAUGUUUGUCAGACGUUUGGGAGUAUUGUGAUGGAUGAAGAUGUGAUAAAGCUGCUAACUUAAACCCCUCAAAUUGCCAGAGAACAGGGUAAGCAGUUGAUAAGUAGCUUGACAGCAUUCAUGUCAAGCUGGAGACUCAGACUUCAAGGAGAUGGCAGGUAUGGGCCCAAUUCUGAUAGUUGGAUGGGACAAGGGACACAAAAUCUAACAGGAAGUGGCUUGGGGAAAAGGAACAACCACUGAAGAAGUUUAUUUCCUUUGGAUGUAAAAGAAUGGAGGCCUUGGUCAAUCGGAGCAAGAACUAUGGAAAAGACAGGGAUGGGGGCAACACCACAGUUUUUAAUCUCACACCCAGAUGCAGCACCUAGGAAGGAAGUGAGGAAGGAAGUGUAUUCAUUCCUGUUCUUCUGAAUAUCCUCCUUCCCACUUGAUAAGGGCCUGAGAACAAGUCUAGCAUCUGGGCUAUAAGAGAGUUCUUAUGGGGAAGGCACACCUUCCCUAGCCAUCUCUGGAAUCUCUGCCCUAGAGCAUGAAAUGAUAGUCUAUGGUCUACCCUGCUUUGAAGAACUUUUCUCUGGUUCUCUUCUGGGGACAGCUGUAGGCAAAGUUGUGAAGUAAGUGAUGUUCGUCCUCAGUCCCUACUUACAUAUACUUUCAAUGACCUCCCAGUCUUUUUCACUUAUUCAUAGCAUCCACCUUUUCUAUGGACCAAAUUGUGUUCUCUCUAUCCUCCCCCUUAACCAAAAGCUAAUGUCCACAGCUAUCUGUUGAAAAGGCCUUGAUAACUUAUUGCCUUCAUCUCAAGAUUCUAGUUCAAGAGACAUUCUGCAGGUAAAACAUACCUAGCUCAAUAGCCUUUAGUGAUUACAAUUCAGUAGGAAGAUGGAGGAUGGUCCACACAAAAUUGAAAGCAGAUGUGGGAAGCCCAUGGUGGGGGCUUUUACCCUUCAGAGGGACAAAGAAGGCAGUGGAGAGGGGAGGAUUUUCUAGAAGACUUGGAUGUUCACAAAGGAAUCGGCCUGGAGAAGUAUCCCCAAGGUGUAUGUUAGCCUUCUCCCUUUAAGUUAGGCAGAUGGAAAAGUUGAGAAUUCUUUUUUUGCUGUUGUUUUUUGCAUUCUCAUGGGAGUGGUCAGCAGGAGACACUAAGGAGUCAUUCACUAAAGGUUUCUUCUAUCUUUGUCUUAAGGCAUUCAUUCAUAUACUCUGGUGAAAAAGACUGGUAAUACCUUAGGAUGUUGCUUUUCCUGAGAAUAUCUACAUUUUAAUAAGGGAUAACCAAACCCAAGGAAUGAAGCUCAAGCAAUAAUGGAUUUUCAGACAUUGGCUUAAGAUCAUUUUGAAAGAUACUCUGGGGUCAAGGAGUACUUUUCCACUUUGAAAUUAUGCCAUCUAGGCAGCUGUCCACUAUACCAAUGCAGAGAAAUAAACUUUUAAAGAAACUUUUAUUUCCUUCUGGAGAAAUAAAAAUAUUCCUUUUAUUCCUAUUGCUCUUCUGUCAAUGACCCCAGCUGUUCAAUCCAUGCACCCUUACCUAAAAUAAUUCGGCCUAUCAUUGGAUUGGAUUUAGUUUAUUUCUCCAGCUUCCCUCCCUCUUCACCCUGGUUUGAGUGGCUGGCUCAGGGGCACAGAGAAGUCUAGGUCUCUAGAGAGAGAAGCUGCUAAAAUUGGGGGCUAGGGAAAAUGAUUAUCAUGGUCAUAGGCUUGCAUGGCACUAUCAGCAGCUGGAUCUAGAAAGAGGCCCCAUUGGUACCCUUGCCACUUAGGAGAUUAAUGACCUCAUUUAGCCAGGUCCAUGUCUUAAAAAGAGCCACAAGGUUAGAGUAGUCUCCACAAAAAAAAAAAAAAAAAAAAAAAAAGAGAGAGAGAGAGGAAGAAACUCUGUUUAAGUGCCCAUUAGGAAAAGGGAGGAAGACGGCACAUUCAUUAGACCAAAGAAGCCCUGAGUGAACAGAAAGAUCAUCUUUUGGGGAGCAUUAGCAUUCCUCUUGGAAUUAGAUGCCAAUUCCCCAGCUCAUUCUCUGAUGGUCAUCAACCCAAGACAUCAUCCAUGAAGGGAAGAAGGUACUUCCCCAUCAUUCCCAUGAUAUAUAGGGGACUAUAGUAAGAGCUCUUGCGGGAAUAUUCUGUCUCUGAGCCCUGCAAUCCUGAACUUAGUACUAUAGGAUAAACCUAAUCAACCAAUCAUUGUAAGGUCUCUAUCUAGAAUGAAGUUUGGGGACCAUUCAGUAGGUAUUUCAGUGCCAAUUUUUUCCUUCCUACCCCAGGACAGGAAGAGAUAAGAAUAGGGAAAGAGGAAACUUAUCUGGAAAGAGUCUUUGAAGAUCUAGAAGGGCACUGAAGGGUUGGUGAGGAUAAAAAAAAAGGCAAAGAAAUUGUGUGUGAACCCUUCUUACAGAGUACAGAAGGAAUACCAGAGACAGAUGAGGAAACAAGGCUCCUUUUCCAUUCUUGUUUCUCCUACAUCCACCCUCUCAUCCUUCUCUUGAACAUAGAAAUGAGUCCUAAAGCUGAAUGGGAAAGACUUGGAUGGUCCUGGGCACUGAACCUUUACAUUCCAACUUCUCCUCUCAAGCUUGUUUGGAAUCUCAAAAGACCAGAACCAUCAUUGUUUCCACACUUGGAACCACAGAGCAAAUAUAAGUGAAGGACAAAAGGUCAGGCAACUUUUCAGAAAAUAUAAGAAUUUGAACUUGGUCUAGCCACUUGGGGAAGCUACUUAAAAAGAGAAUGGAUUCCCUCAAAAAGAGCUCCAAGCCUAAAAGGAAUCCAGCUCAUAAGCACAUGGCUCUGAUACUUAGUAAGGUCCUGAUCUUGAAGGAGGUAAAAGCCCAUUCUUCCUUUACUCCAGGGUGGCCCCAAAUCUGGAAGUCUUAUAAUAGAGCAAUGGAGAAUGCUUUGGCUACAUAAACGGACCAGUUACUUUCUUUCCCCAAUAUUUAAUAAGGUUUAUUUCUCUAUGGAUCUGUUUUGUACAAUUAUCCUAUGGAAAACCUAGAAAGAGUCCCUAUCUUCAUCCCUGUCCCUUUUCUUCCAACCCAUUUACCCAAAGGCAAUAUGGCUACUUUAUGGAGCUUGCUUACAAUUUUCUCACAGUAUCUUAUUUGUUUCAUCUGCUCCAGAACUGGGAUUACACAUAAAUCCUGUCACCAAAACAAAGUUAGGAACUAUCUCCUGGUCUCCUUCAUCCUCCCAAUACCACAUUCUUUUCCCCCAGAUCUUUCUUUUCUCAAUUCUCAUUUAACACUUAAUUCUGAGCUCAAGAAGGGAUUGGGCUAUGUUAAAAUGAUUUGUUUUCUUGCAGCAUUUCCUUCAUCUGUAAGCAAAUACACAACUUUCUAGAUCAUCAUGGACCUGUCAAGAUAUAUCUAGAGCUCAAAAGAAAGUGGGGAACCUGAUGUCUACCAAUCUCCAUCAUUCAUGUCUCAUUCAUCUAAGAACCUCCUGACCCUUGCCCAAAUUCUUUUCCUUCCUUUUGUUCCUGGAAAACCUAAUUAAGUAGAGAAAAUAUGGGUUACUUUGUGAUUGGUACUGAAGAAAAGACAAAAGUGAAUUGAAACAGUUCUCAAAAGUCAGAAACUGAAGCCCCAGGGCCCUGGGUUGGGGAAGUCAGGGUGUGGAAACUUCCUGUGUCAGAUGGAGCUGUUUUGCUGUCCCAACUUCUGCCUAGAGUCUGCUGUCCUAAUUGGUAUCUGCCCACUAUUUGAGGCAGGCCCCAAACUUCACUUCUUCACUCCCUACUAUCCAACCAUCUUUUUGACCAUUAUCAUGCACAUAUACUCUCUUAUCCUCCUUCCUCAUCUGCUCUCUCCAUUUUCAGAAUCAAAUCAAUUCUACUAUAGCUCCAGGAAAAGUGUGUCAACUCCCCUAUUUCUUCAUUCCCAGGAACUUUUAAGACCAAAGUGGCUAUUCCUGGUCACUCCUCCACUGUCUAUUAGAAUAUAUGUUCCUGGAAGGUUAGGAACUGUCUUAAAUAUUUGCAUCCCCAGGGCUCUAGAACAAUGUUUAUCAUUUGACCCUUAAGCAACUGGUGUUUUUUUCAUUCAUUUGUUCAAAAACCAAAUCAACGGGGAGAAAUCAAGUUUUAAAAAUAGCAUUCUUGGUAGAAAGCAUACUAAAGAGUAAAACUCUUUCAAGAGUUUAAUUUUCCCUUAUCACUGAAUCUUCUGUGAGCUGAGUAUUUACUUAUUUUCAUUUUCUUCGAGUUUUGUUUCCUACUCUGUCUCCUAAUCAAUAGCUUAGGUGGGUAGAGUGAAAGUUAAAUUUACAUUCACUUGUUUCUAUACCAACUAUCUCAGAUUCAUCUUCUGUCUGAUAUACAAUCUUUCAAAACAUCCUUGACCCUUGCCAGUUAGACCAGCUUUAAGAUACCAGGGUUCAUUGAAGUUAUCUUCAAGAAUAACUUUCGCUAUUUUGAUUUUUGUCUUACAUGCUGACUUUUAAAACCUAAUUUCUAGUAAAACUACUCCACUGGAUUAUUUCUAGAAGGUUUAUCAAUGAAGAAAAGAACAGAGAUAGGAGGAAGAGGGGUACUGAUUGAGGUUAACCGAGUGACAUGCUGGAUACAUCAAAACAGAAUUAUAGGCAACAAUAGGAAAUAAGAGAGUGAAGAGCCACUGAAUAUUACAGUAGAGAGGAAAAACUGAGUAUGCACAAGAAUGAUGAUGAAAAGAUGAUAAAGAGUCCAAAGGAUAUGAAAUCAAAAGGUCCAGAUGGAAGUGGAUCCCUGGGAAGAGAGAAUUAUCUCUUCUUGUGACAUAGGAGAAGAGGAUGGCUAAAGAUGAGAUUUUGAGGUAUGAAGGAAGUUAAAGAGGCACCAAUAAAACAGUAAAAUCAGAUUUUGGGAGCUAUCCAGGUCAGGAGAUGGACAAAGACAAAUGAAAAGUUGAGGAGGCAAGGGAUUCUAGGAUUCUAAAGAACGAAUACCAUUUAAGUAGCUCAGACUGGAGAAAACCUGAAAGAAAGACGAUCAAGUUUUGAUGAGGGUGAAGAGCUAGAGGGCCUCCUUCACGGGCUCUAGAACUGAAGAGGAUUCCCUAACCCAAGAAAAACUGAAGGUGGCUGAUCUCCUGCAGUCACCACAAUUACAGACCCCUGGCCUGAGGAGCUCCUAAGAUCCAUACUCAGGAGUAGCAUCACAAGAGGGAAGUGUGUGUGUUAAAUUUUUACUUACUUUUUAAAUUUUAUUUUUAAUUUGUGGAAUAAAACAAAUAUUUCCAUAACACAGUACAAUACGUGUCUUGAGGGAGGGUGGAGGGUACCAGGAAAACCCUGUCCAAAAAUAUGUCUACCUGCCUCUGGAAUGACACCAAUAUAAUAUUCAUUAUUUGGGUCUAAAACUAUUAUUUUUAUAUCUUUUCUAUAUAGAUCGGGAUCUAAAUUAGAAUUCAUCUCAACCUAAAGUCUUUUACCAUGUUCUUUGAUGCUGUAUCUUAGGGACCACUGUGCUUUCCAUCUGACUUGCAACUGAAAAUUACUAAGCAUGUUGUUUCUUAUUAAAAU